UACGUAGGGGCGAGACGUUGUCCGGAAGUUAUGUGGCGUAAAGCGCACGUAGGCGGUCUGCUAAGUUUGGAGUGACAGUUGGUGGCUUAACUGCCAAAGUGCUUCGAAAACUGACAGACUUGAGGGCUUCAGAGGGACACGGAAUUCCGGGUGGAGUGGUGAAAUGCGUAGAGAUCCGGAGGAACACCAAAGGCGAAGGCAGUGUCCUGGGGAGUACCUGACGCUCAGGUGCGAAAGCCAGGGGAGCGAACGGG
rnacentral:rRNA from 1 species